rnacentral:rRNA from 1 species
AUGAAGUUUUAGUGACUGAGUGGCGGACGGGUGAGUAACGCGUGGGUAACCUGCCUCACACAGGGGGAUAACAGUUGGAAACGGCUGCUAAUACCGCAUAAGCGCACAGUACCGCAUGGUACAGUGUGAAAAACUCCGGUGGUGUGAGAUGGACCCGCGUCUGAUUAGCUAGUUGGCAGGGUAACGGCCUACCAAGGCGACGAUCAGUAGCCGACCUGAGAGGGUGACCGGCCACAUUGGGACUGAGACACGGCCCAAACUCCUACGGGAGGCAGCAGUGGGGAAUAUUGCACAAUGGGGGAAACCCUGAUGCAGCGACGCCGCGUGAGCGAAGAAGUAUUUCGGUAUGUAAAGCUCUAUCAGCAGGGAAGAAGAAAUGACGGUACCUGACUAAGAAGCACCGGCUAAAUACGUGCCAGCAGCCGCGGUAAUACGUAUGGUGCAAGCGUUAU